UACGUAGGGCGCAAGCGUUGUCCGGAAUUAUUGGGCGUAAAGAGCUCGUAGGCGGCCUGUUGCGUCCGCUGUGAAAUCCCGGGGCUCAACCCCGGGCGUGCAGUGGAUACGGGCUGGCUGGAGGCAGGCAGGGGAGAACGGAAUUCCUGGUGUAGCGGUGAAAUGCGCAGAUAUCAGGAGGAACACCAAUGGCGAAGGCAGAUCUCUGGGCCGUAACUGACGCUGAGGAGCGAAAGCAUGGGGAGCGAACAGG
rnacentral:rRNA from 1 species